AGUGGUGUAUCUCAAUUGGUAGAGAGCCAGUAUAAUUUAAGGACAAUACUAAUUCAAGCUGGAGAUGAAAGGUUCAAGUCCUUCCACCACUA
rfam:Trichomonas vaginalis G3, whole genome shotgun sequence.